rnacentral:rRNA from 1 species
GACGAACGCUGGCGGCGUGCUUAACACAUGCAAGUCGAACGGAAAGGCCCUGCUUUUGUGGGCUGCUCGAUUGGCGAACGGGUGAGUAAGACGUGAGUACCCUGCCCUUGACUUUCGGAUAACUUCAGGUAACUGGGGCUAAUACCGCAUAGGAGCUCCUGCUGCUUGGUGGGGGUUGGAAAUUUGCGGCGGUUGGGGAUGGACUCGCGGCUUAUGAGCUUGUUGGUGGGGUAGUGGCUUACCAAGGCUUUGACGGGUAGCCGGCCUGAGAGGGGGACCGGGCACAUGGGGACUGAGAUAGGGCCCAGACUGAAACGGGAGACAGGGGUGGGGAACAUUGCACAAUGGGCGGAAGCCGGAUGCAGCAACGCCGGGUGCGGGAUGACGGCCUUCGGGGUAUAAACCGCUGGAGCCUGUGACGAAGCGUGUGUGACGGUAACGGAUAAAGAAGCACCGGCUAACUACGUG